rnacentral:lncRNA from 1 species
UUUGCAUGUUUUGGAAAAAGUUGGAUUUUCUCUAAGUGUUUAAACCUAAGCGUUUAUCUAACCAUGCAAUCCUAGCCAUACAUCUACACAUACAAUCCUAGGCAUACAUCUAGGGUGAGUGUGUGCGUGCCGGUGCGUCAUAGUGUCCGUAGUCCAUAUUACAAAAAUUGCCUAAAUACAUUCUAUGGCCCCUUUGCCAAGCUACAAACCAAUGAUAACAAAUUAC